AUGCUUCUCGGCCUCUUUUUUUUUUUUUUGGUUGGUUUUUUUUGGUUUUUCUUGGUUUUUGUUGGUUUUCUCCUCCUGCGGCGAGCCCUGACCGGCGCGGUGGCCACCGGCCCCGCUGAGCCUCCACGUGUCCCCCAGGACGGGCUGGGUAAGAUCCGCCGCCCGAGGAACGUGUGCCCCCCGCCACCUCCCUGCCUGCUGCAGGCUGGAGGCUCAGGGCUGGACCCCCCUAGGAGCCCCUACUGGGGACCCCUCAUGGAGCUCAGCCAGCCCCCCCAGAAGCCCCUAUUUGGGGACAUACAUUGGGCUCAGCCAGCCCCCCCAGAGCCCCUAUUUGGGGACACCCAUUGGGCCCAACUAGUCCCCCCCAGAAGCCCCUAUUGGGGACCCCUCUGGCCUCAGCCAGCCCCCCCAGAAGCCCCUAUUUGGGGAGCCCCAUGGGGCUUGCCCAGCCCCCCCCCCCAUAUUGGAGGUCCCCUGUGGGGCUCAAGGCUGCCUGGUCCAGAGCCGCCCAUUUUUAGGGACCCCCCCCUCCAUGGGGCUCACCCUGCCCACCCAGAGGAGUGUCUGCUCGGCCCCCCCCCGGGGCUCACCCUUGCCCCCCUCUUCCCUGUCCCUGCAGCCUCUCCCCCCCCCCAACUCUCCCUCUCUCCAUCCCACCUCUGCCCACCACCUCCUCUCCUGGCAGCGAGUCCCCCCUGCCCGGCCCCCCCGGCUGCUGCACGGCCCGCGCCCCCCCCCAGCCAUGGGGGCUAUGGGUGCUCGGGAGCUGCAUCGUGGGGUGCGGGGGGACCUGGGCACGGGGGGUGGGUGGUGGGGUAUGGGGACCCUGCAUCUCCGUGCCUCAGUUUCCCCAUUGGCAUCGCUCGCUCCCCGUCCUGCUGCUCUGCACCCCCCAAAUCCUCCCCCACGGGGCUGCAUGGGGGGGGGCGUCCCUGCCCUUUUUUGGGGGGGGACAUUCCACCACCUGCUUGGCACUGGGAGCUGGGGAGGGUGUGGGGCACCGUGGGGCUGAGGCCUGGCAAACUCAUAGCUUCUCCUCCCACCCCCCCCAGCCCAGGCACAUCUCCCUGCACCCCCCCACCCUGA
rnacentral:lncRNA from 1 species